rnacentral:rRNA from 1 species
GACGAACGCUGGCGGCGUGCUUAACACAUGCAAGUCGAGCGGUAAGGCCCUUUCGGGGGUACACGAGCGGCGAACGGGUGAGUAACACGUGGGUGACCUGCCCUCAGCUCUGGGAUAAGCCUGGGAAACCGGGUCUAAUACUGGAUAUGACUCCAUGACGCAUGUUGUGGGGUGGAAAGCCUUGUGCGGCUGAGGAUGGGCCCGCGGCCUAUCAGCUUGUUGGUGGGGUGANGGCCUACCAAGGCGACGACGGGUAGCCGGCCUGAGAGGGCGACCGGCCACACUGGGACUGAGACACGGCCCAGACUCCUACGGGAGGCAGCAGUGGGGAAUAUUGCGCAAUGGGCGGAAGCCUGACGCAGCGACGCCGCGUGGGGAUGACGGCCU